AGAUUGAGAGCUCUUUCUUGAUUCGGUGGGUGGUGGUGCAUGGCCGUUCUUAGUUGGUGGAGCGAUUUGUCUGGUUAAUUCCGAUAACGAACGAGACUCUAGCCUAUUAAAUAGUUCGCCGGUUCGGUAAUCGCCGGCGUCUAACUUCUUAGAGGGACAAGUGGCGUUCAGCCACGCGAGAGUGAGCAAUAACAGGUCUGUGAUGCCCUUAGAUGUUCGGGGCCGCACGCGCGCUACACUGAAGGACUCAGCACGUCUUCUCUCCCGGCCAGAAAUGGUCGGGCAACCCGCUGAACCUCCUUCGUGCUAGGGAUUGGGGCUUGCAAUUCUUCCCCAUGAACGAGGAAUUCCCAGUAAGCGCGAGUCAUCAGCUCGCGUUGAUUACGUCCCUGCCCUUUGUACACACCGCCCGUCGCA
rnacentral:rRNA from 1 species